CCCUUAGAUGUCCUGGGCCGCACGCGCGCUACACUGAUGCAUUCAACAAGUUUCACCUUGGCCGAGAGGCCUGGGCAAUCUUUUGAACGUGCAUCGUGAUAGGGAUAGAUUAUUGCAAUUUUUAAUCUUGAACGAGGAAUUCCUAGUAAACGCAGAUCAUCAAUCUGCAUUGAUUACGUCCCUGCCCUUUGUACACACCGCCCGUCGCACCUACCGAUUGAAUGGUCCGGUGAAGCCUCGGGAUUGUGGCGAGUUUCCUUUAUUGGGAGUUUGUCGCGAGAACUUGUCUAAACCUUAUCAUUUAGAGGAAGGUGAAGUCGUAACA
rnacentral:rRNA from 1 species